GGAUCAUUAAAGAGUUUAACAACUCCUAAACCCCUGUGAACUUAUUAGGUUGGACCAUCGCCAGAGAUAGUCUGGUUUCUGCACGUAGAUCGCCUGCCCGUGACAGGGUACGCUUUUGCCGCGGGGCCGUAGUUAAAUCAUCUGUUCCACAAGGCCUUGCCUCGUGGACGGCAGAUUUAUCUGUGGAAGAUGUCCUCUAACUAUAUGCUUAUUAUAAUAAAUACUCUGACUAAAAUAAACUUAAAUAAGUUAAAACUUUCAACAACGGAUCUCUUGGUUCUGGCAUCGAUGAAGAACGCAGCGAAAUGCGAUAAGUAAUGUGAAUUGCAGAAUUCAGUGAAUCAUCGAAUCUUUGAACGCACAUUGCGCCCAUUAGUAUUCUAGUGGGCAUGCCUGUUCGAGCGUCAUUUCAACCCUUAAGCCCUCGUUGCUUAGCGUUGGGAGCCUACGGCCUGCCGUAGCUCCUCAAAGGUAGUGGCGGAGUCGGUUCACACUUUAGACGUAGUAAAAAUCUUUAUCUCGCCUAUAGAUGAGUCGGCGCCUUGCCGUAAAACCCCUAAUCUUUUCACAAGGUUGACCUCGGAUCAGGUAGGAAUACCCGCUGAACUUAAGCAUAUCAAUAAGCGGAGGAAAAGAAACCAACAGGGAUUGCCCUAGUAACGGCGAGUGAAGCGGCAACAGCUCAAAUUUGAAAUCUGGCCUUCGGGUCCGAGUUGUAAUUUGUAGAGGAUGCUUUGGGCGCGGUGCCUUCCGAGUUCCCUGGAACGGGACGCCUUAGAGGGUGAGAGCCCCGUACGGUUGGACACCAAGCCUCUGUAAAGCUCCUUCGACGAGUCGAGUAGUUUGGGAAUGCUGCUCUAAAUGGGAGGUAAAUUUCUUCUAAAGCUAAAUAUUGGCCAGAGACCGAUAGCGCACAAGUAGAGUGAUCGAAAGAUGAAAAGCACUUUGAAAAGAGGGUUAAAUAGCACGUGAAAUUGUUGAAAGGGAAGCGUUUGCGACCAGACCUUUUCCCAGCGGAUCAUCCGGUGUUCUCACCGGUGCACUUCGCUGGGUUGAGGCCAGCAUCGGUUUCCGCAGGGGGAUAAAAGCCUGGGGAACGUAGCUCCCUCGGGAGUGUUAUAGCCCCUCGCAUAAUACCCUUGCGGGGAUCGAGGACCGCGCU
rnacentral:rRNA from 1 species